rnacentral:RNase_P_RNA from 1 species
GGAACAAAUCGGGCAAUCGCUUUUCGAUUAAAAAACUGAAAGAGGAAAGUCCGAACACCGAUAGGGCAGCGAGCCGGAUAACGUCCGGGCGUUUGAUUCAAAACUCAGACGACGACAAGUGCAACAGAGAACAGACCAGCCUUUUUUGUUGAAGGUGAUGUGUGAAACGGUGCGGUAAGAGCGCACCAGCGCGUUUGGUAACAAGCGCGGCUAGGCAAACUCCUCGCGGUGCAAGACCAAAUAGAAAAACGCUUAUUAAGAGUUGCCCGCUCAAAAGUUUGAAGCAAUUCAGACGGCGUUUUCGGGUAGGUCGCUUGAGCUAUUUGGCGACAAAUAGCCUAGAUGAAUGAUUGCCGUUUGCUCUUUGGAGCAAAUACAAAAUUCGGCUUAUAGAUUUGUUGCGGCU